rnacentral:misc_RNA from 1 species
GAUGAAGAACGUAGCGAAAUGCGAUAAGUAGUGUGAAUUGCGGAAUUCAGUGAAUCAUCGAAUCUUUGAACGCACAUUGCGCCCCUUGGUAUUCCAUGGGGCAUGCCUGUUCGAGCGUCAUUUGUACCUUCAAGCUCUGCUUGGUGUUGGGUGUUUGUCUCGCCUUUGCGUGUAGACUCGCCUUAAAACCAUUGGCAGCCGGCGUAUUGAUUUCGGAGCGCAGUACAUCUCGCGCUUUGCACUCAGAACGACGACGUCCAAAAGUACAUUUUUACACUCUUGACCUCGGAUCAGGUAGGGAUACCCGCUGAACUUAAGCAUAUCAAUAAGCGGAGGA